rnacentral:rRNA from 14 species
GUCUAUGGCCAUACCACCCUGAAUGCACCCGAUCUCGUCUGAUCUCGGAAAAAGGGACAUUAACAUUACCUAAAAGUACUCAGCAGACUUUUUCCAUCACAGACA